AGACAAUGAAGAGCAGUGGAAAUCAUGGAGACUGCAAUUGACCACUAGUAACUGGAACUGCAGAAAGCAAGACCAAGAGACUUGAAUCAGACAAUGGGGGACUGCUAUAUCAGACAAAGGAUUUGUAUCUGGAAUAUAUAAAGAUCACUUAUACCUAAAUACUAAGAAGACAAACAGCCCAAUUUAAAAAUGGACAGAAUAUUUGAACAGGUAUUUCACCAAAGAAUGUAUACAAAUAGUGAGUAAGCACAAGCAUGAUGGACAGUAUCAUUAGUCAUCAGUCAACUGUAAAUUUAAACUACAAUGCAAUACCACUACACACCCACUAGAAUAGCUAAAAUUCAAAAGAC
rnacentral:lncRNA from 10 species